rnacentral:tRNA from 1 species
GGUUAUGGCUCAGCGGUAGAGCGUUCCUCUAUUGUGUGCGAGGCCCUGGGUUUGAUCCUCAGCACCA